rnacentral:rRNA from 1 species
AGCGAACGCUGGCGGCAGGCUUAACACAUGCAAGUCGAGCGGGCACUUCGGUGUCAGCGGCAGACGGGUGAGUAACACGUGGGAACGUACCCUUCGGUUCGGAAUAACGCUGGGAAACUAGCGCUAAUACCGGAUACGCCCUUUUGGGGAAAGGUUUACUGCCGAAGGAUCGGCCCGCGUCUGAUUAGCUAGUUGGUGGGGUAAUGGCCUACCAAGGCGACGAUCAGUAGCUGGUCUGAGAGGAUGAUCAGCCACACUGGGACUGAGACACGGCCCAGACUCCUACGGGAAGCAGCAAUGGGGAAUAUUGGACAAUGGGCGCAAGCCUGAACCAGCCAUGCCGCGUGAGUGAUGAAGGCCUUAGGGUUGUAAAGCACUUUUGUCCGGGACGAUAAUGACGGUACCGGAAGAAUAAGCCCCGGCUAACUUCGUG